rnacentral:tRNA from 1 species
CAAAGGAUAAGCUAAGUUUAAGCUAUUGGGCUCAUAACCCAACAAUAGGGCUAACCUUCCUUUGA